rnacentral:rRNA from 1 species
AACGACUCUCGGCAACGGAUAUCUCGGCUCUCGCAUCGAUGAAGAACGUAGCGAAAUGCGAUACUUGGUGUGAAUUGCAGAAUCCCGUGAACCAUCGAGUCUUUGAACGCAAGUUGCGCCCGAAGCCAUUAGGCGGGGGGCAAGCCCGCCUGGG